UACGAACGCUGGCGGCGUGCCUAAUACAUGCAAGUCGAACGCUUUUUCUUUCACCGGAGCUUGCUCCACCGAAAGAAAAAGAGUGGCGAACGGGUGAGUAACACGUGGGUAACCUGCCCAUCAGAAGGGGAUAACACUUGGAAACAGGUGCUAAUACCGUAUAACACUAUUUUCCGCAUGGAAGAAAGUUGAAAGGCGCUUUCGCGUCACUGAUGGAUGGACCCGCGGUGCAUUAGCUAGUUGGUGAGGUAACGGCUCACCAAGGCAACGAUGCAUAGCCGACCUGAGAGGGUGAUCGGCCACACUGGGACUGAGACACGGCCCAGACUCCUACGGGAGGCAGCAGUAGGGAAUCUUCGGCAAUGGACGAAAGUCUGACCGAGCAACGCCGCGUGAGUGAAGAAGGUUUUCGGAUCGUAAAACUCUGUUGUUAGAGAAGAACAAGGAUGAGAGUAAAACGUUCAUCCCUUGACGGUAUCUAACCAGAAAGCCACGGCUAACUACGUGCCAGCAGCCGCAGUAA
rnacentral:rRNA from 1 species